GAUGAACGCUGGCGGCGUGCCUAAUACAUGCAAGUCGAGCGAACAGACGAGGCGCUUGCUCCUUUGACGUUAGCGGCGGACGGGUGAGUAACACGUGGAUAACCUACCUAUAAGACUGGGAUAACUUCGGGAAACCGGAGCUAAUACCGGAUAACAUGUUGAACCGCAUGGUUCAACAGUGAAAGACGGUCUUGCUGUCACUUAUAGAUGGAUCCGCGCCGCAUUAGCUAGUUGGUAAGGUAACGGCUUACCAAGGCAACGAUGCGUAGCCGACGUGAGAGAGUGGUCGGCCACCCUGGAACGGAGACGCGGUCCAGACGCCUACGGGAGGCAGCAGUAGGGAAUCUGACGCAAUGGGCGAGAGCCUGACGGAGCAGCGGCGCGUGAGUGAAGAAGGUCUUCGGAGCGUAAAACUCUGUUAUUAGUGAAGAACAAAUGUGUAAGUAACUAUGCACGUCUUGACGGUACCUGAUCAGAAAGCCACGGCUAACUACGUG
rnacentral:rRNA from 1 species